CUGAUCCAAAGCAAACACACCUUCAGGGAGGGGUGAAGCUCUAGUCCCUGCAAAGCCCUUGAACACAAGAAAUCAAAUCAAUCCUUCACUAAGUGAUACGGAAAGGCCCUGAGACAAGAAGAUUGAACUCUCUGAGACUCCCUUUCAGGACUACCACUUGCCAAUGCGGUACUUUGGUGCAAUUUGAAAGAGGUGCCCCAUCUAGGCACAUGCCUUGGAUGAAGAGCCCAAUGGAAGAAUUUCUCUGUAAACCAAUGCUGCUGGGAAGGAGAUUUCCAUCCCCGGGGAAACCUAAGUAAGGUCCACCAUGAGCGAGAGCUGGGCUCCGAGACUGCCUUAGGAGAGGGGGCCUGGUCAAUCGCUAUCCCUUUCAGGAUUCCCUAAAACCCUCUCACCCCAGGAGGAUUUAUACACCAGGGAAGGUCAGAUGUGAGGCGAAAUGGUCUCUGUGUUUUAGAAGCAGAUGGUUAGGUUUCCACUCAAGAAUUCUCGUGCUUAUGAAAAAAGAAUACUGAUAUGGUUUGGCUCUGUGUCCCCACCCAUAUCUCACCUUGAAUUGUAAUCAAAGGCAGGACCAGGUGGAGGUAAUUGAAUCAUGGGGGUGGUUUCCCUCAUGCUGUUCUCGUGAUAAUGAGUGAGUUCUCAUGAGAACUGAUGGCUUUAUAAGCAUCUGGCAUUCCCCCUACUGGCACUCAUUCUCUCUCCUGCUGCCCUGUGAAGAGGUGCCUUCCACCAUGAUUGUAAGUUUCCUGAGGCCUCCCCAGUCAUGCAGAACUGUGAGUCAAUUAAACCUCCUUUCUUUAUAAAUUACCCAGUCUCGAGCAUUUCUUUAUAGCAGCAUGAGAACAGACUAAUACAAAUAUCAUGAAUGGUAGCCCCUGACACACACACAUAUGUACUCCAUUACUCCACAAACCCAUACCCAUACUCGUGUACACACACUCAUGAACACAAACACACAUCCAUACCACACACUCACAGUGCACACCAAUACAGUGACACCAUGCACGAACUUCACACAUGCUCACAUCACAGCUCACACGGAUACUCCAUACACACAUUCAUGUCCCACACAGUCAUGGACAGGCAGGCCCACCACACUCAUCUCCCCUCAUACCCCCACCUGCACACAACUGUGAGAAGAAAAGAGCCAUCAGGAGCUGUCUCUCUCUGGCUGGUAGUGAAAAAAGAUUAGGGCUGCCCAAGAUUAAAC
rnacentral:lncRNA from 1 species